rnacentral:rRNA from 1 species
GAUGAACGCUAGCGGCAGGCCUAACACAUGCAAGUCGAGGGGUAGAACACUUCGGUGUUUGAGACCGGCGCACGGGUGCGUAACGCGUAUGCAAUCUACCUUGUACAGGGGAAUAGCCCAGAGAAAUUUGGAUUAAUGCCCCAUAGUAUAUAACCUUCGCAUGUUGGUUAUAUUAAAGUUUAGGCGGUACAAGAUGAGCAUGCGUCCCAUUAGUUAGUUGGUAAGGUAACGGCUUACCAAGACGAUGAUGGGUAGGGGUCCUGAGAGGGAGAUCCCCCACACUGGUACUGAGACACGGACCAGACUCCUACGGGAGGCAGCAGUGAGGAAUAUUGGUCAAUGGUCGCAAGACUGAACCAGCCAUGCCGCGUGCAGGAAGACGGUCCUAUGGAUUGUAAACUGCUUUUAUACAGGAAGAAACCCUCCCACGUGUGGGAGCUUGACGGUACUGUAGGAAUAAGGAUCGGCUAACUCCGUGCCAGCAGCCG